rnacentral:piRNA from 1 species
GGAAGGAAACCUGAGCCCCCACCCACCUUCU